AUUGAACGCUGGCGGCAGGCCUAACACAUGCAAGUCGAACGAGUGGCGGACGGGUGGGUAAUGUCUGGGAAACUGCCUGAUGGAGGGGGAUAACUACUGGAAACGGUAGCUAAUAACGCAUACCAUAGGAUGUGCCCAGAAUGGAUUAGCUAGUAGGUGGGGUAAUGGCUCACCUAGGCGACGAUCCCUAGCGGGUCUGAGAGGAUGACCCGCCACACUGGAACUGAGACACGGUCCAGACUCCUACGGGAGGCAGCAGUGGGGAAUAUUGCACAAUGGGCGCAAGCCUGAUGCAGCCAUGCCGCGUGUGUGAAGAAGGCCUUCGGGUUGUAAAGCACUUUCAUCGGGGAGGCGUUACCCGCAGAAGAAGCACCGGCUAACUCCGUGCCAGCAGCCGCGGUAAUUC
rnacentral:rRNA from 1 species